rnacentral:rRNA from 1 species
AGCAGCCGCGGUAAUUCCAGCUCCAAUAGCGUAUAUUAAAGUUGUUGCAGUUAAAAAGCUCGUAGUUGAACUUCGGGGUUUACUAAUUGGUCAGGCUUAAUUGUCUGUACUGGUGAGAUGAAUCUCUACCUUCUGAGGAGCUUUUCAUGCCAUUUAUUUGGUGUGGUUGGAAAUCAGGACUGUUACUUUGAAAAAUUAGAGUGUUUAAAGCAGGCUAACGUCUGAAUACAUUAGCAUGGAAUAAUGAAAUAGGACGGAUUGAUUCUAUUUCGUUGGUUUCUAGGGUCACCGUAAUGAUUAAUAGGGAUAGUUGGGGGCAUUAGUAUUCAAUUGUCAGAGGUGAAAUUCUUGGAUUUAUUGAAGACUAACUACUGCGAAAGCAUUUGCCAAGGAUGUUUUCAUUAAUCAAAGAACGAAAGUUAGGGGAUCGAAGACGAUCAGAUACCGUCGUAGUCUUAACCAUAAACUAUG